AACCAAAACUCUGUCGUUUUAGUUUCAUCCAAUUUAUUCCAGGUGCUCCCGAUAGCUGUUCUUUUUCCCCUUAACAAAAUUUCCCCCAUUCCAUCUCUUCUCUUUUAAUCCCUAAAUUUUCAUCCCCAAGUUCCCAACCCAUUUGCCACCGAAGACGCCAACCGGACCACCUAGUGCAUCGCCUUCGACUAACCUCUCUGCUGCGUCGCCGUCGUCGUCGCUCUCCACUCCUAAAAAAUAAAUUUUGCUUACCCGCUCAUUACUCCCUCUUCUUCUCAUCUGUUUCUUAAAGCCCUAUGUAUACUGAUUGGUUGAGCUACUUUGGUCUCUCAACGAGAACUUCACAUGCUGAGGCUUAGUUGUCAGCAGUAGCCCAAUCUUGAGAAUAAUGAUCAAUUUGUUUCUCAGUAGUUAACCUAGUAAAAAGUCUCUUGAAGAGCCAUCCACAUGUAUUCUUUUUCUUUUAAUAACAUUUUUUCCCCAGAUUCUGUGGCCAGGUGUUACAUUCUUUACAAAAGCAGGGAAUAUUCAUGGAAAAUUUGAGAAUACUCAGCCUAACCAGACACCUUCGCAGAACUUCAGCCAAUUUGGUGGGGGUAAUAUCAAUAAACCAGGGUCCUUUGAGGAACAACUUGAGGCAGCUCGUAGAGCAAGCAACAUUAAAAAGAUGCUUUUCGAUGGAGCUCCAACAGCCUUAGUUAGCUUAAUCGGGAAGAAGCAAUACAGACGAUGUGCAAGAGACAUAUAUUUUUUCACUCAGGAUCUUAUGGUGGAUCUUCAUGGAAAGAAACAUAUUAAAGUUGCAUAAGAAGUUGCGGUUUCUAUUUCUGUGAAGGAAGUCUGCUGUUGUCUCAAUUACAUCCAUGAAAGUUUAGAAAAUGAAAAACGAUGCAGUCAACCAUCACCAUUGGCUUUGCCUGUGACAUUCACUGCUAUACCAAAUUACUAAUUGUGACUGAGAGUGGCAUUGCUGAUCAGAUGCGGCUGACAGAACUAAUAUUGAAUGAUUUUUGCUCAAUAGUGCUCAAAUUUUUGAGAAAAUAUUUGGAGACGAAUUGAUCAUGGAUAUUAUUGGUUCUCUUGAAUGUAAGUAUAUCACUAUUUGUUUACAAAUAUAUUAUCAGGGACUGUUGGUGGAUUGAAUUGAAUGUUCAAUUUGCAACUUCAUUUGAUUGUUUGGAUGCGGGCUUAUAGUUAUAAGAUUUUGUACAAUUAUUUUUUAUGAUAAUAACAUUUUAAUAUAUUUUUCCUUUUUGAAUGUUCCUAUGUUUUAUGUCUAUUUCCCAAAAUUUGUCUAUUGCUUAGUAGUUUAGCUUGUUUUGGUAGGCAGUUUCUUCUUCUCUGGUUUGCAGAUGAUCCUAAUGUUCCUCAGGUGCAACACUAUCGGAAUUUUCUGAAAGAACAUGUUGGUUUUAAGGAGGUUAUUUCUUUAUUGAAGGACGACAGCACCUUUAUUCAAGAAUUGUUUGCUAGGUUGAGAUCACCCACCACAUCUGCUGAAUCAAAGAAGAAUUUGGAAAAACCAACUACACUAGAUUGCAGUCCAAGAACAAUUUGCAGAAGGCACAUAAUGGCUGGGUCCUACCUCUACAAAUGCAUAUAGAAGGCAUUGCAGCAGCGAAUAAGAAUGAUAUUGAUCAACAUGCAGUUGACACUGUAUGUGCUCUGAAUCCGAAUUCAGGUGUGAGUUUCAGAUAUUUUAUGUGCAAAAAAGUAUUAGAGUGCCUUAUGUUUGUAUGUUAGUUAAGCAGAUUAUAGUUAGAACCUGCAGUAGGAUUGAUCAAAAAUUACACCCAGUUUUGUAAUAGUCUACUUGCAUAUUUGCAUAUAUUUAAUAAUAAUCUUGUGUCAACUAA